GGACCGUUCGGAGGAAAUGUCGUCGCUGGCGGUGUUGGUGCCAGUGGAAACGAUUUGGUUGAAGUGGUAGAAGUACCCGUUGGAGCGUCACCCGAAAUUGUCGAUGUCGGUCCGCUCGACAUUGAAGUGGUCGGGGCUCCCGUCGAACCGUCGCCCGAAUUUGUCGACGUCGGAUUGGAGGACGUCAGUAAAAUUAUUAAAUCGCUUUUCAAUACGAUGGACACAUAAACUUUUAAUUAAUUAUUGUUUUUUUUCCUCUCAUUGUGUAGCUUGCCGUCGUCGGAGUUCUAA